GGUGGCUCAGUGAUAGAGUGCUUGCCUUGCAUGCAUGAAGCCCUGGGUUCAAUUCCUAAGCACCA
rnacentral:tRNA from 1 species